rfam:Gossypium raimondii chromosome 2, whole genome shotgun sequence.
UAAAAGCCCUUAAAUUAGCUCGGAACAUAAGUAGAUAGUUUCUAAGGGGUGUAGGCCUCCCAAAAGGUAACAGAAGCGUGCAAAGGUUUCCUCAUGCCGGACGGAGAUUGGCCUUCGAGUGCAAAGGAAGAAGGGAGUUUGACUACAAGACCCACCCGUCAAACAGGGACAAAAGUCGACUUUAGUGAUCCGACAAUGCCGAGUGGAAGGGUCGUCGCUCAACGGAUAAAAGUUGCUCUAGGGAUAGCAGGCUAAUCUUCCCCAAGAGAUUACAUCGACGGGAAGGUUUGGCACCUUGACGCCGGCUCUUCGCCACCUGGGGCUAAUUUGAAAUAUUUGUAAAAUAUUGGGUAAAAAGGAAAAAUAGGGGUCACAUGGCCAUGUGGUGUAAUAUA